rnacentral:misc_RNA from 1 species
GAUGAAGAACGCAGCGAAAUGCGAUAAGUAAUGUGAAUUGCAGAAUUCAGUGAAUCAUCGAAUCUUUGAACGCACAUUGCGCCCCCUGGUAUUCCGGGGGGCAUCCCUGUCCGAGCGUCAUUACAACCCUCAAGCUCAGCUUGGUGUUGGGCCCCGCCGCCCCGGCGGGCCCUAAAGUCAGUGGCGGUGCCGUCCGGCUCCGAGCGUAGUAAUUCUUCUCGCUCUGGAGGCCCGGUCGUGUGCUCGCCAGCAACCCCCAAUUUUUUUCAGGUUGACCUCGGAUCAGGUAGGGAUACCCGCUGAACUUAAGCAUAUCAAUAAGCGGAGGA